rnacentral:rRNA from 1 species
UACGUAGGGUGCAAGCGUUGUCCGGAAUUAUGGGGCGUAAAGAGCUCGUAGGCGGUUUGUCGCGUCUGCUGUGAAAACCCGAGGCUCAACCUCGGGCCUGCAGUGGGUACGGGCAAACUAGAGUGCGGUAGGGGAGAAUGGAAUUCCUGGUGUAGCGGUGGAAUGCGCAGAUAUCAGGAGGAACACCGGUGGCGAAGGCGCUGCUCUGGGCCGGUACUGACGCUGAGGAGCGAAAGCGUGGGUAGCAAACAGG